AUUGAACGCUGGCGGCAGGCUUAACACAUGCAAGUCGAGCGGAGAUGAGGUGCUUGCACCUUAUCUUAGCGGCGGACGGGUGAGUAAUGCUUAGGAAUCUGCCUAUUAGUGGGGGACAACAUUCCGAAAGGAAUGCUAAUACCGCAUACGUCCUACGGGAGAAAGCAGGGGAUCUUCGGACCUUGCGCUAAUAGAUGAGCCUAAGUCGGAUUAGCUAGUUGGUGGGGUAAAGGCCUACCAAGGCGACGAUCUGUAGCGGGUCUGAGAGGAUGAUCCGCCACACUGGGACUGAGACACGGCCCAGACUCCUACGGGAGGCAGCAGUGGGGAAUAUUGGACAAUGGGGGAAACCCUGAUCCAGCCAUGCCGCGUGUGUGAAGAAGGCCUUAUGGUUGUAAAGCACUUUAAGCGAGGAGGAGGCUACUGAGACUAAUACUCUUGGAUAGUGGACGUUACUCGCAGAAUAAGUACCGGCUAACUCUGUGCCAGCCGCCGCCGUAA
rnacentral:rRNA from 1 species